GACGAACGCUGGCGGCGUGGAUUAGGCAUGCAAGUCGAACGGUAUCAUCCUUUCGGGGGUGAGAGAGUGGCGAACUGGUGAGUAACACGUAGGUUAUCUACCCUCAAGACGGGGACAACCCAGGGAAACUUGGGCUAAUACCGGAUGUGAGCAACUUUUAGUUGUUUGAAAGGUGGCGUAAGCUGUCGCUUGGGGAUGAGCCUGCGUCCUAUUAGUUAGUUGGUGAGGUAACGGCUCACCUAGGCAAUGAUAGGUAGGCGGCCUUAACGGGUGGUCGCCCACACUGGGAUUGAGAUACGGCCCAGACUCCUACGGGAGGCAGCAGUCGAGAAUAGUCUACAAUGGUCGGAAGACUGAUAGUGCGACGCCGCGUGAACGAUGAAUCCCUUCGGGUGUAAAGUCUUUUAUAUGUGAGCAGUGCUUCUUAUAUUAACAGUAUGGGGAGAGAGAUAUUAAGCAUAUGAAUAAAGCAAACGGCUAAACUCCGUGCCAGCAGCCGCGGUAAACUCG
rnacentral:rRNA from 1 species